rnacentral:rRNA from 1 species
AGUUGAGCGCUGAAGGUUGGUACUUGUACCGACUGGAUGAGCAGCGAACGGGCCACAUUUACGCGUGGGGAAUCUGCCUUUGAGCGGGGGACAACAUUUCCAAACGAAUGCUAAUACCGCAUAACAACUUUAAACACAAGUUUUAAGUUUGAAAGAUGCAAUUGCAUCACUCAAAGAUGAUCCCGCGUUGUAUUAGCUAGUUGGUGAGGUAAAGGCUCACCAAGGCAAUGAUACAUAGCCGACCUGAGAGGGUGAUCGGCCACAUUGGGACUGAGACACGGCCCAAACUCCUACGGGAGGCAGCAGUAGGGAAUCUUCGGCAAUGGACGAAAGUCUGACCGAGCAACGCCGCGUGAGUGAAGAAGGUUUUCGGAUCGUAAACAACUCUGUUGGUAGAGAAGAACGUUGGUGAGAGUGGAAAGCUCAUCAAGUGACGGUAACUACCCAGAAAGGGACGGCUAACUACGUGCCAGCAGCCGCGGUAAUACGUAGGUCCCGAGCGUUGUCCGGAUUUAUUGGGCGUAAAGCGAGCGCAGGUGGUUUAUUAAGUCUGGUGUAAAAGGCAGUGGCUCAACCAUUGUAUGCAUUGGAAACUGGUAGACUUGAGUGCAGGAGAGGAGAGUGGAAUUCCAUGUGUAGCGGUGAAAUGCGUAGAUAUAUGGAGGAACACCGGUGGGGAAAGCGGCUCUCUGGCCUGUAACUGACACUGAGGCUCGAAAGCGUGGGGAAGCAACAGGAAUAAAUACCCUGGUAGUUCACGCCGUAAACGAUGAGUGCUAGAUGUAGGGAGCUAUAAGUUCUCUGGUUCGCAACUAACGCAAAAAAACACUCCCCCCUGGGGAGACCAACCGCAAGGUGAAA